UUUGCUUGUCUGGGGCUGAGCGUGUGUCCAGCUCUGGAGCCAGGGAAGGAAUCAGCUGUCACAUGGCGCACGUGACCAGCUGCGUGGUAUUGGGGUCCCAAUCCCAGACAUGAGGCUGGAGCAGAAUGAACAAAGAGGAGACAGGUGGAGAGGUGGUGGGCAGCCAGAUGGUGACAAUCUUGCAAUUCAUGAUGAGAAGACUGAGGCCCAGAAAAAGGAUAAGACUGAUCCAAGACCACACACCACAUAUGGGUCAAGAUGGGGGUCAGAGCCUGAGUCUUCCAACUUCAGUCUUAUGUGGCUCCCUCCACAUCCACACAGCCCCUUCUAGAAGAGAAGGCAGAAAUGUGUGCCCGGGGAAGAGCGAAGCUUCCCUAAAGCCCCAGAUGAAAGAAAUCAAUCACAUC